rnacentral:rRNA from 1 species
AGCGGCGGACGGGUGAGUAAUGCCUAGGAAUCUGCCUGGUAGUGGGGGAUAACGUUCGGAACGGACGCUAAUACCGCAUACGUCCUACGGGAGAAAGCAGGGGACCUUCGGGCCUUGCGCUAUCAGAUGAGCCUAGGUCGGAUUAGCUAGUUGGUGAGGUAAUGGCUCACCAAGGCGACGAUCCGUAACUGGUCUGAGAGGAUGAUCAGUCACACUGGAACUGAGACACGGUCCAGACUCCUACGGGAGGCAGCAGUGGGGAAUAUUGGACAAUGGGCGAAAGCCUGAUCCAGCCAUGCCGCGUGUGUGAAGAAGGUCUUCGGAUUGUAAAGCACUUUAAGUUGGGAGGAAGGGUUGUAGAUUAAUACUCUGCAAUUUUGACGUUACCGACAGAAUAAGCACCGGCUAACUCUGUGCCAGCAGCCGCGGUAAUACAGAGGGUGCAAGCGUUAAUCGGAAUUACUGGGCGUAAAGCGCGCGUAGGUGGUUCGUUAAGUUGGAUGUGAAAGCCCCGGGCUCAACCUGGGAACUGCAUUCAAAACUGACGAGCUAGAGUAUGGUAGAGGGUGGUGGAAUUUCCUGUGUAGCGGUGAAAUGCGUAGA